rnacentral:rRNA from 1 species
UACGGAGGGUGCGAGCGUUGUCCGGAAUCAUUGGGCGUAAAGGGCGCGUAGGUGGCCCAGUAAGCGUGCGGUGAAAGCUCGGGGCUCAACCCCGAGUCGGCCGUGCGAACUACUGGGCUGGAGCACUGUAGAGGCAGGCGGAAUUCCUGGUGUAGCGGUGAAAAUGCGCAGAUAUCAGGAGGAACACCGGUGGCGAAGGCGGAUCUCUGGGCCUUGCCUGACGCUGAGGCGCGAAAAGCUAGGGGG